GCGUCUUUGGUGUAAACGGUAGCAGUGGGCCUUCCAAGCCUUACGGUGCGGGUUCGAGUCCCGCAGGACGCUCCA
rnacentral:tRNA from 1 species